rnacentral:rRNA from 1 species
CUGGCGGCGUGCCUACACAUGCAAGUCGAACGAGAAAGUGGAGCAAUCCAUGAGUAAAGUGGCGACCGGGUGAGUAACACGUGACUAACCUACCUCCGAGUGGGGAAUAACUCCGGGAAACCGGGGCUAAUACCGCAUAACACUGCAAAGUCAAAGCAGCAAUGCGCUUGGAGAGGGGGUCGCGGCUGAUUAGCUACUUGGCGGGGUAACGGCCCACCAAGGCGAAGAUCGGUAUCCGGCCUGAGAGGGCGCACGGACACACUGGAACUGAAACACGGUCCAGACUCCUACGGGAGGCAGCAGUGGGGAAUUUUGCGCAAUGGGGGAAACCCUGACGCAGCAACGCCGCGUGGAGGAUGAAGCCCUUUGGGGCGUAAACUCCUUUCGACUCGGAAGAUAAUGACGGUACGAGUGGAAGAAGCACCGGCUAACUCUGUGCCAGCAGUCGCGGUAAUACAGAGGGCGCGAGCGUUGUUCGGAAUUAUUGGGCGUAAAGGGCGCGUAGGCGGUGCCAUAAGUCAGCUGUGAAAACUCUGGGCUUAACUCAGAGCCUGCAGGCGAUACUGUGGUGCUGGAGUAU